CAGCUGUAACUGAGCUACUGUGCUAGCUACAUGUACAUGUAGUUCUGCUGCGGCAUAUUUCUUCUGAAUGCGGCUGAAGUCAAUCUGGACUCAACCAAUAUUUCCACAUAUCUAGACUGCACAAUACCCCUUCUCAAGCAUCCAGAGGCCUUCGCACCAGUCGGCUCUAUACUCUGAGAAGGGAACGGCCAAUUUAUUCACCAGUCCGGGUGGAUUGAUGGAGGUGUUUAUGUCCAGAGCGUGAAAGUGGUAAGGACAAGAGCAAGAAAGAGGAAUCCUUUGUCGACUCAACUAUCGGCUAUCAGGAUGGUCAAAUUCUAAUGACAUUCAUUCAGGGAGUGCAUCGCAAAGUGAUUUUGGUUCUUAGUGAUUUUUAUGAGGUCAGCUGAUUGCCUACUACAGUGAAAGGAAGUGACUAAUUGGACAACCAGCUAGAAUUGGGACUUCAACACUAAAAGCCUGCCAAUUGUGUUAUUGCAUCUCAAAUCAAGAAAACCUUGUCCAGUUGACGGUUGAGGGAUUGCAAUAGAACAAUAUAGUAGACUCUGAUGAGAUGUGUGACUCUUGUUGUACUCUGGAAUAUAUUCUAACCUGGAUGUUUGAAUGAAGGACACUGUUGUGCAUCGAUUCAAAUUGGAUUCAGUUCUGGAGAUGUACAAACUGUGCAUCUAGAAAGUGACCCUGCGUAUGCUGUUACUGAACCACAGAUAAACUUGGUUUCAAAGGAUUUGCUGAACUGUACGUUGCAAAGUGAGUGUGAAGGAGAACACACAUUUAAAAAAAACUGAUAAAGUCUGAUCUUCCAUGAAGCUACUGAUAAACUGACAAAUUUGAUCUUCCACGAGACAAGGAUAAACUGAUAAAAUCUGAUCUUCCACAAAGAUACUUCAAGGUGCAUGCAAGCCUGCUUCAUCGGGUAAACAAAGUCAGUAAGUUACAAGAGGUCAGGAUUUCAGUGACCCCUCUACACUGACACAGUUUGGAUGCAAGAUGGCAGCAGAGAGCGUAGAAGUGGAUCACUUUGAGGAGGGCACAUCAAAGGUGAGUGCAGAGAACGUAUUUGAUUGCUUUGAGGGCAAGUCCAAGAGUCCAUUUUGUUCCAUACGUUGUUACCGAAUGCAUCCUAGAUGUGUGUGUAUCUGACAAUUGUUGUCAGUUUCAUGAUAGCCCUACUACUUGUAGACCUUUGAUCAAACAAAAUACAAAGCAAAAUGACACAUUUGAUUUCAGUUUAUUUACAGAAUUACACAAUACUUGAUAAUGAUAAUGUAUGGGACACCAAUUACUUUGAACUUGCCCUUGGACAAAUGUAAAAAUUGUUUUUAACCAAAUCUCUUUUACUUUUUAUAAAUGUUAGGCUUCCUGGGAGAAGUUACAGUUGUUAUCAAAAAAAUCUUUUGGCUUGCACCCAGUAGAUGAAGAUUGCGUGCUUGAUCUUGUAUUUGAGAACAAGUCAG